rnacentral:SRP_RNA from 1 species
GCCUGGCACAGUGGCACAUGCCUGUAUUCCCAGCUACUCAGUAGGCGAGGCAAGAGGAUCGCUUGAGUUCAGCAGAUCUGGGCUGCAGUGGGCUAUGCCGAUUGAGUGUCUGCACUAAGUCUGACAUCAGUAUGGUGAUCUCUUGGGAGUAGGGGAUCACCAGGUUGGCUAAGAAGGAGCGAACUGGCCAAGAUCAGAAGUGGAGCAGAUCAAAACUCCUGUUGUUAAUCAGUAGUGGGAUUGUGCCUGGGAAUAGCCACUCUACUGUAGCCUGGGCAACACAGUGAGAACUUGUCUCU